rnacentral:rRNA from 1 species
AGAGUUUGAUCCUGGCUCAGGAUGAACGCUAGCGACAGGCUUAACACAUGCAAGUCGAGGGGCAGCACAGGUAGCAAUACCGGGUGGCGACCGGCGCACGGGUGAGUAACGCGUAUGCAACUUGCCUAUCAGAGGGGGAUAACCCGGCGAAAGUCGGACUAAUACCGCAUGAAGCAGGGAUCCCGCAUGGGAAUAUUUGCUAAAGAUUCAUCGCUGAUAGAUAGGCAUGCGUUCCAUUAGGCAGUUGGCGGGGUAACGGCCCACCAAACCGACGAUGGAUAGGGGUUCUGAGAGGAAGGUCCCCCACAUUGGUACUGAGACACGGACCAAACUCCUACGGGAGGCAGCAGUGAGGAAUAUUGGUCAAUGGCCGAGAGGCUGAACCAGCCAAGUCGCGUGAGGGAUGAAGGUUCUAUGGAUCGUAAACCUCUUUUAUAAGGGAAUAAAGUGCGGGACGUGUCCCGUUUUGUAUGUACCUUAUGAAUAAGGAUCGGCUAACUCCGUGCCAGCAGCCGCGGUAAUACGGAGGAUCCGAGCGUUAUCCGGAUUUAUUGGGUUUAAAGGGUGCGUAGGCGGCCUUUUAAGUCAGCGGUGAAAGUCUGUGGCUCAACCAUAGAAUUGCCGUUGAAACUGGGGGGCUUGAGUAUGUUUGAGGCAGGCGGAAUGCGUGGUGUAGCGGUGAAAUGCAUAGAUAUCACGCAGAACCCCGAUUGCGAAGGCAGCCUGCCAAGCCAUUACUGACGCUGAUGCACGAAAGCGUGGGGAUCAAACAGGAUUAGAUACCCUGGUAGUCCACGCAGUAAACGAUGAUCACUAGCUGUUUGCGAUACACUGUAAGCGGCACAGCGAAAGCGUUAAGUGAUCCACCUGGGGAGUACGCCGGCAACGGUGAAACUCAAAGGAAUUGACGGGGGCCCG